GGCUUGUAGUCAUAUGSUUGUCUCAAAGAUUAAGCCAUGCAUGUCUAAGUACAUACCUGCYUAAGGUGAAACCGCGAAUGGCUCAUUAAAUCAGUUACGGUUCCUUCUAUAUUAAAGAUCUACAUGGAUAACUGUGGUAAUUCUAGAGCUAAUACAUGCACAAAAGAUCCAACUCUCGGGAAGAAUCGCAUUUAUUAGACCAAGAUCAAUGGGUGCUUCGGCAUCCUUUCAAAGGUGACUCUGAAUAACUGAGCUGAUCGCACGGCCAAUGCGCCGGCGACGAAUAGUUCAAGUGUCUGCCUUAUCAACUUCCGAUGGUAUGGUAUGCGCCRACU
rnacentral:rRNA from 1 species